UGCAUCGAGCGGGGCGUGCUCGCCGACGAGGUCGAGACGCUGCACGAGAG
rnacentral:misc_RNA from 1 species